rnacentral:pre_miRNA from 1 species
UGAUGAUAGUGAUGAUGAUGAUGAUGAUGAUGAUAAUGAUGGUGAUGAUCAUGAUGACGAUAUGUUAACAACAUCUGAAGGAAGCUUUUUAUGUGGUACUUAGUUACAAGCACAAACAGAUUUAACCAGGGAAUAUAUAAUGCGUACCUCAUCUUGCACUAUCGUCAUCUUCCUUUUCUCCACUACUGACGUCAGCAUCAUCAUCAUCAUCAUCAACAUCAUCAUCAUCAUCAUCA